rnacentral:rRNA from 1 species
UACAGAGGUCUCGAGCGUUAGGCGGAGUCACUGGGCUUAAAGCGUGUGUAGGUGGAUCGUUAAGUACCUUGUGAAAUCCCCGGGCUUAACCUGGGAACUGCAUUGGUGACUGCAGAGCUAGAGUGUGUCAGAGGGAGGUGGAAUUCCGCGUGUAGCAGUGAAAUGCGUAGAGAUGCGGAGGAACACCGAUGGCGAAGGCAGCCUCCUGGGAUAACACUGACGCUCAGGCACGAAAGCGUGGGGAGCAAACAGG